CAAUAGCGUAUAUUAAAGUUGUUGCAGUUAAAAAGCUCGUAGUUGGAUUUCUGGUAGGAGUGACCGUUCCGAACUUGAUUGUUCGUGUAUUGUGUUUUCUCCAGCCAUCCUUGUGGAGAACUUUUCUUGCAUUAAUUUGUAGGGAUUGGGACCCGCAUCGUUUACUGUGAAAAAAUUAGAGUGUUUAAAGCAGGCAAUCGCUUGAAUACAUUAGCAUGGAAUAAUAAGAUAGGACUUUGGUACUAUUUUGUUGGUUUGCAUACCAAAUUAAUGAUCAACAGGAACAGUUUGAGGAUAUUCGUAUGAACAUGUCAGAGGUGAAAUUCUUGGAUUUUGAUCAGACGAACUACUGCGAAAGCAUUUAUCAAGGAUGAUUUCAUCAA
rnacentral:rRNA from 1 species